rnacentral:hammerhead_ribozyme from 1 species
AUUCAGCUAAUGAGUCCCAAAUAGGAUGAAACGCGUGUCCUACAU